rnacentral:lncRNA from 1 species
UAAAGUAUAACACACACAGCUCAGAUCAGAUUAUCACCGGCGCCGAUCGAACGCUAGACAGCUACAGACAAGCUUUGAUUGAAAUACGAUAACGAGAUCGAGAUUGGAAAAGGAGCUCGAGGUCACGGACGAUGGCCGACUCGGACUCAGCUAGUGCUAAGCCUAAGGACAAGGCUAAGGCUACGCUAAAUCGGAAUAAGACUAAGUAAGACGGUAAGAGGAAGGAGAGAAACAAGCAAUGGCAGCUCGACCAUCCGGCCCAGAGGAGGCGCGGGAGUGGCUGUGAACAAGGCCAGGGUACGGCGGAGAAACUUCGCGAGCUGCAGGCGGCCUUCUCGUUGCCGAGUCUAGAGGAUGCAAUAGACCCUAUGGCUAUGCCAGCUCACUGAGAGAUAUGAAGAACAGACAACACAAUCCAUCCCCAGGGAAGAAAUUCCAAGCAGCAGUAGGGGAAUUAGCAGGUGAAUAGUACAAGUCACCUUUGACCGCAAAUUCAUGGAGAACUUGGCCUACUCUGCUGAUUUGCUCGCUUCAGGCACACCAGCAUGCUCGAGUGUUUCCACAACCAUAUACUGAUGUAUGCUUCCAAGCGGUAUUCCUUUGACUACCCAGCAAACCGGGCAAGGAAUUUGCUUGCGGUCAUCGACUACAUGGCACACAAGGACAGGCCCGACCAGAUUGAUGAACAAGGCAAUACAAAAUAUGUUGCAGUAUGGUCAAAGCGUGCCAACAACUACGUGGCCCGGAAGGAGAAGGUCCCCAAGACCUACCCCUACAUGUAUGUAUAAGGACUCAUCGGUGCGAUACUGGAACGCAGAGAACAGGACCAAGGACCACUGUUCUCGAAGGCUGUUCUGCUCCCUGAUGACCCUAGACACACAAGGCCCCGGCUUGCACCAUUUCCUCCACCACAAGUUGAUGUGAUCCUAGCCAGGAGACUAGGCCGAUUAGAGAAAUCCAUGUAAUCCUCUGUAGUGAACAUUUGGGAUUGUCUGACUUGAGAACUGCUUUUUUUCGAGCAGAGACUAAGGGAUCCAAAUGGCGUCCUUCCGUCCAUCCUCCGUGACUGUACACAAAUUUGAAUGAAGUCUAAUGUGAAAUCUUACCUGCAAAAAUCAAUUAGGGUUGCUAACUUUCCAACCCUGCAUCUGUUAAUAACCAUACUUGAUUGGUAGAUGCCCUUUAUUGGCCACCAUGAUAUUCUGGAGUUGAAGGUCACAUAAGUAGGUCAAAGGUCAAAUGAGGUUCAUUGUUGCAUGAUUGCAUGCAAGACUCUUAAUCGCCUCAAUUUAAUUUGUCCAUGUGGCAUGUUUUUAGGCUAUCUUGAGGAUUGGUUGGAACUUAACAUUUUGGACUCAUUUGGUUGCUAAUGAUUUUGUGGUCCGGAGGUGAAAGAUUGCAUGGCUUAGCAUUACGAGCAUGUAUUCUUGAUAUGUCAGAGACCCUUUGACAAAAUACCACCAAACUUGAUACUAGAGUGUCCCUGGGGAUCAUGGGGAUGUGGUUAUCUAUCAGUAUUAAAAAAAAGUCACAUAACGCAUGAUAUACAUGUACCAGAAAUAAAUUGUUAUUGUUGCUAGAUUAGCCACCAUGCUUGGCACUUGUAUAUUGUAUUACAAUAAGAGGUUGGCAAGUUUACAAAUGGAAGAAAUGUAGGAAUAUAAAAGACAAAUUGUGACAUCAGUGUAUAAAAGCUCUAUGUGAUUUAUACAAUUCAUAAUUUGUGAUAAAAUCAGUGCUUGCUCAUGUGGAAAUGGUGGAUAUUUCAAUUUGUAUCUAUUUGGCAACCUAUAUUCCUUGAAGAAGUUACGGUAGUAAUUAUAAAAUUUACAGCCAAGAGGUCAAACCAUGAGUCAACAAUGUGUUUGGUUUUAGUGACUGUGCAUGUAACUGAGGUGACAGUCGAUCAUGAAAAAGACUAUACUUCGGAACCUGUUGAAAAUCAACAUGGACAGAAGAAAGAUUUGUAGAAUAUCUUAUUGUAAAUAGUCUUCAUUUUUUGUUUAAUGCAAUCAAUGUGACUAAAAUAAUGCAAGCGAAAAAGAGAAAUGAUCACAAGACAGCAAAACAGUUGGUUUCAUGCAUCAUUUGAAUCAAUGAACGUGAAUCAGCUCAACGCCAAAGUAUUGCGGUUCAAGGUUAUACCAUCAAGAGAUAUGCUGCCUGUAACUACUUUGUAGUUUGAAAGGGUGUAUAAAGGAAUAAGGAUACAGUUGGGCAGGCAAGUCUUUCUGUUGGUCUAUUGUAAAAAACUGGGUCAAAUUUUUUCCAAUUUUUACGCAAAUUGUAAUAAAACUUGGUAUACCGAUUGACCCGAGGGUGUGCAAGACACAUUUGUUGUGUCUGUCUGUUAAGGUACCUCCAUGGUAACCAAGCUUUGCACAAAGAAUACAAUUUUGUUUUAAUAAUCUUGUGGAGCAUAUUCUUUCCAAGUUUUAGCAAUUUUAUAGUUUUGGUAUCUUUGAUGAGGCAUUAUAAUAACAGUAUAAAACUCAAUGCAUGUGCAGUGUGUAAAAUAAGUAUGUGAGCAAACUAUUGGAAGUAGUUUGAUCGAUUCAUAUGAAACUCAGUACACACAACGCAGAAUUGUCUUUUGUGUGCGUAUAGGACAUGACCAGUUUUAAAAUGUCUGUGCUAUUUUUUUGAAAAACCUUAUGUUGGAUGUUAAUCACUUGAGGUGAUAUUCAUAGUCGAGCAUUAGGGAAGAUGAAAGACAUAUAUGUACCUAACUAUACUUAAUUUUGUGCU